UUAAGUUCAGCGGGUAGUCCUACCUGAUUUGAGAUCAAACGUUCAAAAAGCUGUCCUCGCUGAGGAGAGACAUUUAUGAGCUCCAGCGAACCUCCAUCACUGAAGGUUACCUGGUGGAAAACCACAAGCGUAGAUAGUUAUCACACCUGUGAUGCCACCAAACACUGGCAAGCUGAUCGAUUUAAGAGGAGCCGACCAUA
rnacentral:misc_RNA from 1 species